CAAGAUAACCCAGGAUUCUGUUUACCUGGGGUUUAGAAUGACGCAGAGUUAACUAAAACUUUGUAUUAGGAGUUCUUUAGAGUUUUGUGGAGUUUGCAAGUAUUGCCUGUGUAUGUGUUUGCACACAGGCAGGCUGUGGCUCUCCGGGAACAGGUUGAUCUGCUGGAUAAAGCAGUGCUGGAACUUGGAGCAGCAACAGGACUGGUGUCAACAGUGGCAAGUUUACUGGAUCUUUACACCACUUUCACAUCAAGGUGCCUGGGUCACGGCCACAGAUCUGCCUGAUGACUAGUCAAAUUUAACUUUAACCUCUCGCUCAACACAAGGGCCGCCGAAGAUCCACACCUCAGGUGGCGGCUCUGGUCUGGGGCCAGGAUGUGAAACUUGACUUCGAAGAGAUCCCACAAGAGGAGAUAAGGAUCUACCAGGCAACUGCAAUGAAGUCAACCCAAAUGAGGGAGGACCAGAACAGGGGGAACUAACAUGAUGUAUAGCAAGAAUUGUUUAAAACGUGGGAGAUUCAAUAAAUGUACAAUAAAUGAAUCUAGCAGCCCCAAUAUUGAAGAGAAGGUGCUCCACCUGUUGGUUUUCUGCAAAGUGACAAGGAAUAAUUUGUAACAAAAGAUAUAUAUUUUAAAUGAAUGUUGCGUUUUUUUUAAACUUUUUUAA